rnacentral:lncRNA from 1 species
AAAAAAGGACAUUUGCAUAAACCAUAUUUAACCAGAACCUUUGUUUUAUGUUUUUCCUUUCUGAAUGCUUUGUUGAACUCCCUUGCAGUUCCCCUCCCUGUCCCUCGACCCCAGCUAGUCAGAGACCAAAGCCUUGACAAUGUUUCACACUGGAAUCUUCCUGGCCCCACCCUAAUCAUCAUGCCUGAAUAAUUACAGUUUCUGACUUGUCUCCCUGCUUCCGUUUCUGUCCAUUCUUAAACCCUUGGACACGUUAAUCUUCCCAGAAUAUCACUGUGAUUCUGUCCUUCUCUUGCUCAAGGGUUCCCAGAAACUACAGAAAAAACUUUGCAAGCUUUCAUCUGGGAUUUAAAGCUGUUCUUUGCCUUUCUCAUUGCUGGUUCUCUGCUAAGCCCAUAAGACCUAUCUGACAUCUCUGACUUCAACACUUUUGUCUUGGAUACUUAACUCACCUUCUGUUUCCUAAUUAGACUUCAUUCAGGGUCUAAUUCUAUCUAUAAAUUCUGCUUCCCUUUGCCAUGUGGUCCAUCCCUCCUCUGAACCGCAGCAUCUCUGGCUUGCACUCUUCGGCAGGCCAUAGCACAUGCUGCCUUGACUUCCAGUUACACAUCUUUUUCUUUCCACUUCUAGAUGCUGGGCCCUUCAGGGCAGGGCUCUGCCCCGUGUGGCCACAUUUCUUGUAAUGUUCUUCCGCCAUAGAGCCUCAUCAAGAAGAGACAGCUUUCUCCUGAUAGGAUACGGAUUUGGAUAUCAGGACAAGUUCUCAUAUCUGCUUCUGCUCGGGGCCUUGCAUAAAAUCCAGAAUCCUACACCACGAAAGCAUGACAGGCAAGAUUUGGGUGGAAAACAAUCUCCAUUUAAGGUUCAGUUCAGAAAACAAUAUCAUACCUGACUCAACCGUUGCAAUAACCGUGCAAGGUAAACAAGGCAUCUUUCAUUCUUAUGUUAUACGUAAGGAAACAGGAAACCAAGUCUCAGGAAGGUCAAACUCAAGGUUUUGGGGGAAAUUUAUCUUAUGAACCCUUAUUUAUUUUCUUAUGAAUGCUAUGAAUCUUUGUUUAAGGAUAUAGCACGAGAUAAUUCCUAAGAUCACAUCGUAGCCUUAGGGUUUAAAUAAAGCACUGUGUUUUUCAACGUACGCA